rnacentral:misc_RNA from 1 species
ACCUGAAGAUACCUUCCCGCGUAGUGUCCACACAGAUUGUCUGAUAGAAGAAAUGAGCAAAAGUCACACCAGAGUCCCCAUCGUCUAGAGGCCCAGGACACUGCCCUUUCACGGCUGUAACAGGGGUUCGAAUCCCCUUGGGGACGCCAUACCGGUAACGAAGUGAAAGUCGUUAUCACCCAGUAUCUCAAAACUGAUUAUGCCGCAAGGCGAGUCACGUUUGAGAUAUUUGCUCUUUAACAAUCCGGAACAAGCUGAAAAUUGAAACGACGUGUCGUUUUCAUUCUCCGUAAUAAGAAUGAAAUUCACGACAUGUUCGAGUCUCUCAAAUGCUUACAACAGACAACGUGUUCUUCGGGACGCUUGUGGGUUGUGA